rnacentral:rRNA from 1 species
GGAGUCGUGCCUGCUCAAUGAUUAUUAAAAUUAAAUAGCCGCAGUACCCUGACUGUGCAAAGGUAGCAUAAUCAUUUGCCCUAUAAUUGAGGGCUGGAAUGAAUGGUUUGACGAAAGCUUAACUGUCUUUUUAUUUUUGAUUAUAAAUUAAUUUUUAAGUGAAGAAGCUUAAAUAAAUAAAAGGGACGAGAAGACCCUAUUGAGUUUAAAUUUAUGAUUUUUAAGGUUUAUUUAUAUUAUAUAAAAUUAUUAUAAUUAUUAAAUUUUAGUUGGGGCAACUAAGGAAUAAAUAAAACUUCCUAAAGUAUAUAUUAAAAUUAUUGUUAUUGAUCCAUUGAAUAAAUAAUGAUUAAUAGAUAUAAUUACCAUAGGGAUAACAGCGUAAUUUUUUCUGAGAGUUCUAAUCGAAGAAGAAGAUUGCGACCUCGAUGUUGGACUAAGGGAUUCUUAGAGGAGCAA